rnacentral:rRNA from 1 species
UUUAUGGAGAGUUUGAUCCUGGCUCAGGAUGAACGCUGGCGGCGUGCCUAAUACAUGCAAGUCGAGCGAACGGACGAGAAGCUUGCUUCUCUGAUGUUAGCGGCGGACGGGUGAGUAACACGUGGAUAACCUACCUAUAAGACUGGGAUAACUUCGGGAAACCGGAGCUAAUACCGGAUAAUAUUUUGAACCGCAUGGUUCAAAAGUGAAAGACGGUCUUGCUGUCACUUAUAGAUGGAUCCGCGCUGCAUUAGCUAGUUGGUAAGGUAACGGCUUACCAAGGCAACGAUGCAUAGCCGACCUGAGAGGGUGAUCGGCCACACUGGAACUGAGACACGGUCCAGACUCCUACGGGAGGCAGCAGUAGGGAAUCUUCCGCAAUGGGCGAAAGCCUGACGGAGCAACGCCGCGUGAGUGAUGAAGGUCUUCGGAUCGUAAAACUCUGUUAUUAGGGAAGAACAUAUGUGUAAGUAACUGUGCACAUCUUGACGGUACCUAAUCAGAAAGCCACGGCUAACUACGUGCCAGCAGCCGCGGUAAUACGUAGGUGGCAAGCGUUAUCCGGAAUUAUUGGGCGUAAAGCGCGCGUAGGCGGUUUUUUAAGUCUGAUGUGAAAGCCCACGGCUCAACCGUGGAGGGUCAUUGGAAACUGGAAAACUUGAGUGCAGAAGAGGAAAGUGGAAUUCCAUGUGUAGCGGUGAAAUGCGCAGAGAUAUGGAGGAACACCAGUGGCGAAGGCGACUUUCUGGUCUGUAACUGACGCUGAUGUGCGAAAGCGUGGGGAUCAAACAGGAUUAGAUACCCUGGUAGUCCACGCCGUAAACGAUGAGUGCUAAGUGUUAGGGGGUUUCCGCCCCUUAGUGCUGCAGCUAACGCAUUAAGCACUCCGCCUGGGGAGUACGACCGCAAGGUUGAAACUCAAAGGAAUUGACGGGGACCCGCACAAGCGGUGGAGCAUGUGGUUUAAUUCGAAGCGACGCGAAGAACCUUACCAAAUCUUGACAUCCUUUGACAACUCUAGAGAUAGAGCCUUCCCCUUCGGGGGACAAAGUGACAGGUGGUGCAUGGUUGUCGUCAGCUCGUGUCGUGAGAUGUUGGGUUAAGUCCCGCAACGAGCGCAACCCUUAAGCUUAGUUGCCAUCAUUAAGUUGGGCACUCUAAGUUGACUGCCGGUGACAAACCGGAGGAAGGUGGGGAUGACGUCAAAUCAUCAUGCCCCUUAUGAUUUGGGCUACACACGUGCUACAAUGGACAAUACAAAGGGCAGCGAAACCGCGAGGUCAAGCAAAUCCCAUAAAGUUGUUCUCAGUUCGGAUUGUAGUCUGCAACUCGACUACAUGAAGCUGGAAUCGCUAGUAAUCGUAGAUCAGCAUGCUACGGUGAAUACGUUCCCGGGUCUUGUACACACCGCCCGUCACACCACGAGAGUUUGUAACACCCGAAGCCGGUGGAGUAACCUUUUAGGAGCUAGCCGUCGAAGGUGGGACAAAUGAUUGGGGUGAAGUCGUAACAAGGUAGCCGUAUCGGAAGGUGCGGCUGGAUCACCUCCUUUCU